rnacentral:misc_RNA from 1 species
UCGCGGUUUGCACCGGCAGUCUGGCUAGAGUUCCCGACUUCAAUCGCUGGCAACUAACCACAGGGGUUGCGCUCGUUAUAGGACUUAACCUGACACCUCACGGCACGAGCUGACGACAACCAUGCAGCACCUUGUAAAUUGUCCGAAGAAAAAAGUGUUUCCACUCCUGUCAACUUACAUUUAAGCCCUGGUAAGGUUCCUCGCGUAUCAUCGAAUUAAACCACAUGCUCCACCGCUUGUGCGGGCCCCCGUCAAUUCCUUUGAGUUUCAUUCUUGCGAACGUACUCCCCAGGUGGGUCACUUAUCACUUUCGCUUGACCACCCAACACCCAAUCGUGCCGGACAGCUAGUGACCAUCGUUUACGGCGUAGACUAC